rnacentral:rRNA from 1 species
GCCUACGGGGCGCAGCAGUAGGGAAUCUUCCACAAUGGGCGAAAGCCUGAUGGAGCAACGCCGCGUGUGUGAAGAAAGUCUUCGGAUCGUAAAACCCUGUUGUUAGAGAAGAAAGUGCGUGAGAGUAACUGUUCACGUUUCGACGGUAUCUAACCAGAAAGCCACGGCUAACUACGUGCCAGCAGCCGCGGUAAUACAUAGGUGGCAAGCGUUAUCCGGAUUUAUUGGGCGUAAAGGGAACGCAGGCGGUCUUUUAAGUCUGAUGUGAAAGCCUUCGGCUUAACCGGAGUAGUGCAUUGGAAACU